rnacentral:tRNA from 1 species
GGCCGUAUAGCCUAAAACCAAGGCAUCUGAAUUGCAAUCAGACCAUGUACCUGUACUACUGCCG